UACUAGAGUAGCACUCGCAUAUCAAUAAGCGGAGGAAAAGAAACUAACAAGGAUUCCCCUAGUAACGGCGAGUGAAGCGGGAAGAGCUCAAAUUUGAAAUCUUAAAGGGUUUCCCUUUACGAAUUGUAGUUUAAAGAAGUGUUUUCUGUUGAGGUUUUGGUAAAAGUUCUUUGGAAUAGGACAUCAUAGAGGGUGAGAAUCCCGUAUUUGACCUUUACUUUCAACUUUGUGAUACACUUUCAAAGAGUCGGAUUGUUUGGGAAUGCAGUCCAAAAUGGGCUGGUAAAUUUCAUCUAAAGCUAAAUAUUGGCGAGAGACCGAUAGCGAACAAGUACCGUGAGGGAAAGAUGAAAAGAACUUUGAAAAGAGAGUUAAACAGUACGUGAAAUUGUCAAAAGGGAAGCGUUUGACACCAGUGUUGUUUUUCUGAAAAUCAAUUAAAGAACUGUUUAUGCUAAGUUGUUUAGACUUUAUCAGCUAACUGUUUAGUUUUGAGCUUUUCUUUAAUGCACUUUUCAGUUAACAAGUCAACAUCAAUUUCUUUUGCUGUAAAAAAGCUUGAGGAAGGUGGCUUGAGACUCGUCUUAAGUGUUUAUAGCCUCUUGCCUAUGCAGUCGGAGAGAUUGAGGUCUGCAGCGUAGAUCCUUCGGGGCUAAAUGCAUUUGUGCUAAGUUAUAGCAUUUUAUAGACAACUUGUUGACUAUGAUUUGUCUUGUAGCUUACUCGCUUAUGUUAUUUUACCUACGCUUAGGAUGUUGAGUAGCGACAUACGCAC
rnacentral:rRNA from 1 species